rnacentral:rRNA from 1 species
ACCUUUUGCAUCAUGAUUUAGCCAGUAUCCUCAAGCAAAGAGCGCUUUAGUUUGAUUUCCCGAAACUAAGUGAGCUACUCCAAGACAGCCUAAUAAUAGGGCACACCCGUCUCUGUGGCAAAAGAGUGGGAAGAGCUUUGAGUAGAGGUGACAGACCUACCGAACUUAGUUAUAGCUGGUUGCCUGAUAAUUGGAUAGAAGUUCAGCCUCCCGGCUUCUUUCUUCACCACUUGUAUUCAACCCAACUUGAUAUUUAAGAAACCGAGAGAGUUAUUCAAAGGGGGUACAGCCCCUUUGACAUAAGAUACAACUUUUUUAGGAGGAUAAAGAUCAUAUUUAACCCAAGGGCAAAAUGUUUUGGUGGGCCUAAAAGCAGCCAUCCCCUCAGAAAGCGUUAUAGCUCAAACAUAAACCUUCCCCUCCCCAUCCCGAUAAGCCAAUCUUAAACCCCUAAUACUACCAGGCCAUCCCAUGCAAGCAUGGGAGUGACUAUGCUAAUAUGAGUAAUAAGAGAGCAGUACUGCCUCUCUCCCCGCACAAGUGUACAUCGGAACGGACCCCCCACCGAACUUUAACGGCCCCAACCAAAGAGAGUAUUGAACAACACAUCAAACAACAAGAAAAUCAUUCAACAAUAAACCGUUAACCCUACACUGGCGUGCUUUUUAAGGAAAGACUGAAAGAAAGUAAAGGAACUCGGCAAACAUACAAGCCUCGCCUGUUUACCAAAAACAUCGCCUCUUGCAAAUCUAAUGAAUAAGAGGUCCCGCCUGCCCUGUGACUAUAAGUUUAACGGCCGCGGUAUUUUGACCGUGCGAAGGUAGCGCAAUCACUUGUCUCUUAAAUGGAGACCUGUAUGAAUGGCACCACGAGGGCUUAGCUGUCUCCACUUUCUAGUCAAUGAAAUUGAUCUCCCCGUGCAGAAGCGGGGAUGAGACCAUAAGACGAGAAGACCCUAUGGAGCUUUAGACACUAAAGCAGAUCAUGUUAAACACCCCUAAAUAAAGGAUUGAACCAAAUGAUACCUGCCCUCCUGUCUUUGGUUGGGGCGACCGCGGGGAAAUACAAAACCCCCACGUGGAAUGAGAGUACCUCUCUUACAACUAAGAGCUCCCGCUCUAAUAAACAGAACUUCUGACCAAUAAGAUCCGGCACUGCCGAUCAACGGACCGAGUUACCCUAGGGAUAACAGCGCAAUCCUCUUCUAGAGUCCAUAUCGACAAGAGGGUUUACGACCUCGAUGUUGGAUCAGGACAUCCUAAUGGUGCAGCCGCUA